UUUCCUGCUGCCCUCGUGAAAGCAGUGGCCGCUCCACCUCGGGACUCCGGGACCCGUUCGUAGCCGCUCGGAGAGUGCGCGCCUGCUGUGAUAUUUACAGUUUCCCCCUCAAACCAGAGUGAACGGCCGUGGGAUCGCGGGGGCGCGGAUCGUUGCGGGCCGCCUCAGUCGCAGACGCCGGGGCCCCGCUUUGUUUCGGUGUUUGGACCUCGCGUUCGUCCUGGCUCCGCCUCCGCGGCGGGGACUCCCCGGGGGUCCUGCCCUUGGGCGCCCUGCAAGCCGAGCGGCGAGGCUCCCUUAGCGCCAGCGCUGGCUCCACGCCGCUGGGCCCGGGACGCCCCCCAGACCCUGGGGUUCCCGGGGUCCUGCACCCGGGGCCUUCGGAGGUGAAGCCUCGGUGGACGCCAGACAGAGCCUGAGAAAUGACUGUGCCUCAGUAAGCCUGAUUUCAUCCUCAGGAGGGGAAGCCAGAUCCAAGAACUAAAGAGUCUCUUGGGAUCUUCAGAGGAUUUGUGCCAAUGAGAAUUUGACAAAAGAAUACUCAAAUGUGACCUUACUGCCAGAGAAUGAAGAGUUCUUGGAUCAAACAGAAGCUUUUCUCCAAGGGGAAGCCUCUGACUCUCAACAUGAAGCUCUCUUAAUCCUUCUACUCCUUCCAAACCUUCUAUAACAGCAAUGUAAUUGCCUCCCAGAUACCUACAAAAUAUAAAGCAAUUUUAAAUAGACAUUCUGAGAACAUCAUGGUCUGUAAACAUGAUAAAAACAUAACAAUCACUGAGCCAAGUGAAAAUUAUAUAUGUGGA